CAGAAAACAGAAUAAAGAGGGCGGGGAAAAAAGCUGAAAAGCGGCAAUACACGACCCCACCCCCCUUCACGUUGUCUUCUCCAAAUGACCCAUUCCCUACUGCCUUCUCCAUCAAGACCAAACCAAUAGACCCAUGCUUCUUCAUUUUCGAUUCCAACUUCAAUAGAGAACAACCAAUUCAAACAGCCGUGAAAAUUCACACCCUAAGAGCUUCAUCUUGAACAAAAGAAAAGGCAAAACCAGCAGCGAAAUAGGUCAAAAAUAGCUUCAAAAUCAGUCCAAAGUCAUCUCCGAAAUAAUCGUCAAAGUGAGGAGAUAUUCGAGUUCGUCGAUUCAAGGUUCCAGACAAAUUUUCAGUAGCAUUCCUUAUUUUUCCUCGAUGUUCCGGAGAAACAGUUUGUAUUUGCCGAAGAUUUUCUUAAAUUAUACCAAAUAAACUUCACAGAAGGUCCGUUUCUUUAUCUGUAAUUUUAUUUUUGUUCUUAUAAUGCUUGUCGUGUUGUGCGUUUGUUCUAUGUCACCACAUUUUGCUUUUUUUUUAUCCUGAUUGAUUAGUCAAUUUUCUUGAAAUAAUUUGUUUGCCUUGUUUUGGUCUGUGACAGUGAUUUGGAGGAAUUAGCUUCCAUUUUUAUUUGGCUUUGGUUGGUGAAAUAACGUGCUUGGAAGAUAGAUAUGAAAGUAUAAAGAGUUUUGGUCCUUUACUGAUUUAAAGUUUGGGAAAGAAAAUUAAUUCAAGCCUAAGAUUGUUACAAGUGCACUAUAUAAAAUGUGUGUGAUUGUAUAUCAAUUAUCUAUUAUUAGUGGAGUAUUAAUAUAAUGUAUGUGUGAUUGUAUAUCAAUUAUCUAUUUUUAGUGGAGUAUUAAUUAAAGAACCAAAAAAAGUAAAAAACAAUAAGUGCAUGUAAGGUGAGAGACGUGAGAAAUUUUCAAGAAGAUAGGAAGGAAUCUUCUUGUUAUGCUAGGUGGAAACCAUUCUUGUCCCUUUCCUUCCUUCUUUGAUUUUCCUUUUUUCUCUUUCACGUUUUGUUGCUUUCUGUUUUUUUUUCUUCUUCUUCUUCUUC
rnacentral:lncRNA from 1 species